rnacentral:piRNA from 1 species
UACCAGCUUCCUUUGUGAAUGAAGGAUUAGU